UCUUCCUGCAGGUGGAGAUGAAGAGC
rnacentral:piRNA from 1 species